CCUACGGGUGGCAGCAGUAGGGAAUCUUUCACAAUGGGCGAAAGCCUGAUGGAGCAACGCCGCGUGCAGGAUGAAGGCCUUCGGGUUGUAAACUGCUUUUAUAAGCGAGAAAUAUGAUGGUAACUUAUGAAUAAGGAUCGGAUAACUACGUGCCAGCAGCAGCGGUCAUACGUAGGAUCCGAGCAUUAUCCGGAGUGACUGGGUGUAAAGAGUUGCGUAGGUGGCAUAAUAAGUAGCUAGUGAAAUCUGGUGGCUCAACCAUUCAGACUAUUAGCUAAACUGUUAAGCUCGAGACCGUUAGGGGUAACUGGAAUGUCUAGUGUAGGAGUGAAAUCCGUAGAUAUUAGAAGGAACACCAAUAGCGUAGGCAGGUUGCUGGGACGGUUCUGACACUAAGGCACGAAAGCGUAGGGAGCAAACGGGAUUAGAUACCCGUGUAGUC
rnacentral:rRNA from 1 species